UACAGAGGUGGCAAGCGUUGUCCGGAAUCAUUGGGCGUAAAGCGCGCGUAGGUGGCUUCAUAAGUCCGUUGUGAAAGUCAAAGGCUCAACCUUUGAAAGCCGAUGGAUACUGUGGAGCUAGAGUACGGAAGAGGCGAGUGGAAUUCCUGGUGUAGCGGUGGAAUGCGCAGAUAUCAGGAGGAACACCAAUAGCGAAGGCAGCUCGCUGGGACGUUACUGACACUGAGGCGCGAAAGCGUGGGGAGCGAACAGG
rnacentral:rRNA from 1 species